UACCAGACUCCUACGGGAGGCAGCAGUGGGGGAUAUUGCACAAUGGGGGAAACCCUGAUGCAGCGACGCCGCGUGGGCGAAGAAGUAUUUCGGUAUGUAAAGCUCUAUCAGCAGGGAAGAAAAUGACGGUACCUGAGUAAGAAGCUCCGGCUAAAUACGUGCCAGCAGCCGCGGUAAUACGUAUGGAGCAAGCGUUAUCCGGAUUUACUGGGCGUAAAGGGAGCGUAGGCGGCCUGCCAAGUCUGAAGUGAAAGGCGGGGGCCCAACCCCCGGACUGCUUUGGAAACUGUAUGGCUGGAGUGCAGGAGAGGUAAGUGGAAUUCCUAGUGUAGCGGUGAAAUGCGUAGAUAUUAGGAGGAACACCAGUGGCGAAGGCGGCUUACUGGACUGUAACUGACGUUGAGGCUCGAAAGCGUGGGGAGCAAACAGGAUUAGAUACCCUGGUA
rnacentral:rRNA from 1 species